GACGUAGGGAGCGAGCGUUGUCCGGAUUCAUUGGGCGUAAAGCGCGUGUAGGCGGCCAGGUAGGUCCGACGUGAAAACUGGAGGCUCAACCUCCAGCUGUCGUCGGAAACCCUCUGGCUAGAGUCCGGAAGAGGAGAGUGGAAUUCCUGGUGUAGCGGUGAAAUGCGCAGAUAUCAGGAAGAACACCGAUGGCGAAGGCAGCUCUCUGGGACGGUACUGACGCUGAGACGCGAAAGCGUGGGGAGCGAACAGG
rnacentral:rRNA from 1 species